UACGGAGGGGGCUAGCGUUGUUCGGAAUACUGGGCGUAAAGCGUGCGCAGGCGGCGGCUCAAGUCAGGUGUGAAAUCCCCGGGCUUAACCUGGGAAUUGCGCUUGAAACUAGGUCGCUAGAGUGUGGCAGAGGGGGGUGGAAUUCCCAGUGUAGAGGUGAAAUUCGUAGAUAUUGGGAAGAACACCGAUGGCGAAGGCAGAUCUCUGGGCCGUAACUGACGCUGAGGAGCGAAAGCAUGGGGAGCGAACAGG
rnacentral:rRNA from 1 species